UACGUAGGGUCCGAGCGUUGUCCGGAAUUAUUGGGCGUAAAGGGCUCGUAGGCGGUUUGUCGCGUCGGGAGUGAAAACCUACAUCUUAACUGUGGGCUUGCUUUCGAUACGGGCAGACUUGAGGCAUGCAGGGGAGAACGGAAUUCCUGGUGUAGCGGUGAAAUGCGCAGAUAUCAGGAGGAACACCGGUGGCGAAGGCGGUUCUCUGGGCAUGUUCUGACGCUGAGGAGCGAAAGUGUGGGGAGCGAACAGG
rnacentral:rRNA from 1 species